UACGAAGGGGGCUAGCGUUGCUCGGAAUCACUGGGCGUAAAGGGUGCGUAGGCGGGUUAUUAAGUCAGAGGUGAAAUCCUGGAGCUCAACUCCAGAACUGCCUUUGAUACUGAUAGUCUUGAGUAUGGGAGAGGUGAGUGGAACUGCGAGUGUAGAGGUGAAAUUCGUAGAUAUUCGCAAGAACACCCGUGGCGAAAGCGGCUCUCUGGAACGGUACUGACGCUGAGACGCGAAAGCGUGGGGAGCGAACAGG
rnacentral:rRNA from 1 species